AAUGCAUGUGCUUUGCGUGGAAAGACACUAAAUAAAUAGAGACAAGCACUUGCAGAAAUAACAAUACAGGAAAGUAGUAGACUGGAGUGGAGACGACGGAAAAACAGGUAAUAAAAGAGAUACUACACUGGAACAAAGACGAGACAAUACAGCUACAGGGAAGACUAGAAGCAUCGGCCGGCAUAG